GUAGCUUCAGCUAAACCUGUUACAAUGUAUUGUCUCUUUUGUUAAAUGGCAAAGGAGAAAUAUAACCUCUGUUACUGAAAGACAGACAAAGACAGAAAACCAAUGCGUAUAUGUGGAUUUAUCUACAUAAUAGAAUAUCAUUCUGAUUUAAUGAUUCGAAAGACCAUGUUCUAUUAAGAGAAAAGACAAAACCAUCAGAGG
rnacentral:lncRNA from 1 species